rnacentral:rRNA from 1 species
CCUACGGGAGGCAGCAGUGGGGGAUAUUGCACAAUGGGGGGAACCCUAAUGCAGCGACGCCGCGUGGGUGAAGAAGCGCCUCGGCGCGUAAAGCCCUGUCAGCAGGGAAGAAAAUGACGGUAUCUGAAGAAGAAGCCCCGGCUAACUACGUGCCAGCAGCCGCGGUAAUACGUAGGGGGCAAGCGUUAUCCGGAUUUACUGGGUGUAAAGGGCGUGUAGCCGGGUUGACAAGUCAGAUGUGAAAUCCUGCGGCGUAACCGCAGAACUGCAUUUGAAACUGUUGAUCUUGAGUACUGGAGAGGCAGACGGAAUUCCUAGUGUAGCGGUGAAAUGCGUAGAUAUUAGGAGGAACACCAGUGGUGAAGGCGGUCUGCUGGACAGCAACUGACGGUGAGGCGCGAAAGCGUGGGGAGCAAACAGGAUUAGAUACCCGGGUAGUC